AGAGUUUGAUCCUGGCUCAGGAUGAACGCUGACAGAAUGCUUAACACAUGCAAGUCUACUUGAACUUCGGUUUGGGUGGCGGACGGGUGAGUAACGCGUAAAGAACUUGCCUCACAGUUAGGGACAACAUUUGGAAACGAAUGCUAAUACCUGAUAUUAUGAUUUUAGGGCAUCCUAAGAUUAUGAAAGCUAUAUGCGCUGUGAGAGAGCUUUGCGUCCCAUUAGCUAGUUGGAGAGGUAACGGCUCACCAAGGCGAUGAUGGGUAGCCGGCCUGAGAGGGUGAACGGCCACAAGGGGACUGAGACACGGCCCUUACUCCUACGGGAGGCAGCAGUGGGGAAUAUUGGACAAUGGACCAAAAGUCUGAUCCAGCAAUUCUGUGUGCACGAUGACGUUUUUCGGAAUGUAAAGUGCUUUCAGUUGGGAAGAAAAAAAUGACGGUACCAACAGAAGAAGUGACGGCUAAAUACGUGCCAGCAGCCGCGGUAAUACGUAUGUCACAAGCGUUAUCCGGAUUUAUUGGGCGUAAAGCGCGUCUAGGUGGUUAUGUAAGUCUGAUGUGAAAAUGCAGGGCUCAACUCUGUAUUGCGUUGGAAACUGCAUGACUAGAGUACUGGAGAGGUAAGCGGAACUACAAGUGUAGAGGUGAAAUUCGUAGAUAUUUGUAGGAAUGCCGAUGGGGAAGCCAGCUUACUGGACAGAUACUGACGCUAAAGCGCGAAAGCGUGGGUAGCAAACAGGAUUAGAUACCCUGGUAGUCCACGCCGUAAACGAUGAUUACUAGGUGUUGGGGGUCGAACCUCAGCGCC
rnacentral:rRNA from 1 species